rnacentral:rRNA from 1 species
CGGAUUAGUGGCGAACGGGUGAGUAAUACGUGAGUAACCUGCCCUUGACUCUGGGAUAAGCCUGGGAAACUGGGUCUAAUACUGGAUACUACCUCUUACCGCAUGGUGGGUGGUGGAAAGGGUUUUACUGGUUUUGGAUGGGCUCACGGCCUAUCAGCUUGUUGGUGGGGUAAUGGCUCACCAAGGCGACGACGGGUAGCCGGCCUGAGAGGGUGACCGGCCACACUGGGACUGAGACACGGCCCAG